ACCGAGGCUAGAGUCACAUUUAGAUGUCCUCAGUCAUCGUAGUGUGCUAUAGUACUCGGAGAGCAAUCACUGACCUUUAUUCACUGACUUGUUUAUUCAGUAGCAGAGUCAGUCUCCAGGUUUGUCACAAGU